ensembl:Y_RNA Y_RNA Y RNA
AGCUGGUGCAAGUACAGUGGUGUCAUAACAGUUACAGAUUUCUUCCCUCUUUCUCCACUCCCACUGCUUCACUUGACUAGCCUGAA